AGGGUUGUAGUUAAAUUUAACAUUUGAUUUGCAUUCAAAAAAUAUUGAAUAUUCAAUCUACCUU
rnacentral:tRNA from 1 species